ACAAGCUGUUAACAACUUGUAACAACCUUGUUGAUAUUAUCAGACUUGUUGCAAGGUUGUUCCAACAAGUCCAAUACAGUCAUGAUAUAACAAUAUUGUUACAACCCUCAGGUGAUCAACCUUGUAACAUUCUUGUUGUAUCAUGACUGUAUCAGACUUGUUAGAACAACGUUGUAACAAGUCUGAUAAUGCCAUCAAGCUUGUUGCAAGUUGUUAACAGCUUGUUCCAAACUUGUUACAACAACUCGGAACAAACAGUGCGA
rnacentral:lncRNA from 1 species